GAGAGAGGAAUGCCAGCUCCCUCCACCGUGUGCGUUCUUGACGCCAAACCCCGUCGGAACACACCCAGCUCCGUCGGAUUGGCGGUUUCCUGACGCCAGCUUCACCCGCAUGCCUCCCGGCACCUGACCCCGACGGAUUCAUGCCCCUCCCGACAUCGACUGCCAGAUCGGCGAUUCCCAAUGCCAAAGCAACAUUGGAUCAACGGCC
rnacentral:lncRNA from 1 species